CUACGGGGCGCAGCAGUGGGGAAUAUUGCACAAUGGGCGCAAGCCUGAUGCAGCCAUGCCGCGUGUAUGAAGAAGGCCUUCGGGUUGUAAAGUACUUUCAGCGGGGAGGAAGGGAGUAAAGUUAAUACCUUUACUCAUUGACGUUACCCGCAGAAGAAGCACCGGCUAACUCCGUGCCAGCAGCCGCGGUAAUAGCGGAGGGUGCAAGCGUUAAUCGGAAUUACUGGGCGUAAAGCGCACGCAGGCGGUUUGUUAAGUCAGAUGUGAAAUCCCCGGGCUCAACCGGGGAACUGCAUCUGAUACUGGCAAGCUUGAGUCUCGUAGAGGGGGGUAGAAUUCCAGGUGUAGCGGUGAAAUGCGUAGAGAUCUGGAGGAAUACCGGUGGCGAAGGCGGCCCCCUGGACGAAGACUGACGCUCAGGUGCGAAAGCGUGGGGAGCAAACAGGAUUAGAUACCCCGGUAGUC
rnacentral:rRNA from 1 species